CAAAAUUAACAAAUAAGAGGUCCCGCCUGCCCUGUGACUAUAUGUUUAACGGCCGCGGUAUUUUGACCGUGCAAAGGUAGCGCAAUCACUUGUCUUUUAAAUGGAGACCCGUAUGAAUGGCACAACGAGGGCUUAACUGUCUCUUCUUUCAAGUCAAUGAAAUUGAUCUCCCCGUGCAGAAGCGGGGAUACGCACAUAAGACGAGAAGACCCUGUGGAGCUUUAGGCACCAAGGCAGACUAUGUUAAGUACCCCAGACUAAUGACUAAAACAACUUAUAACCUGCCCUAAUGCCUUCGGUUGGGGCGACCGCGGGGAAAUAAAAAACCCCCAUGUGGAAUGGGAACACCUCCUAAAACUAAGAGCCCCCGCUCUAAUAAACAGAACUUCUGACUAAUAAGAUCCGGCAAUACCGAUCAACGGACCAAGUUACCCCAGGGAUAACAGCGCAAUCCCCUUUUAGAGCCCAUAUCGACAAGGGGGUUUACGACCUCGAUGUUGGAUCAGGACAUCCUAAUGGUGCAGCCGCUAUUAAGGG
rnacentral:rRNA from 1 species